rnacentral:rRNA from 1 species
AUACGUAGGUGGCAAGCGUUGUCCGGAAUUAUUGGGCGUAAAGCGCGCGCAGGCGGUCCUUUAAGUCUGAUGUGAAAGCCCACGGCUCAACCGUGGAGGGUCAUUGGAAACUGGGGGACUUGAGUGCAGAAGAGGAAAGUGGAAUUCCAAGUGUAGCGGUGAAAUGCGUAGAGAUUUGGAGGAACACCAGUGGCGAAGGCGACUUUCUGGUCUGUAACGGACGCUGAGGCGCGAAAGCGUGGGGAGCAAACAGGAUUAGAUACCCUGGUAGUCCACGCCGUAAACGAUGAGUGCUAAGUGUUGGGGGGUUUCCGCCCCUCAGUGCUGCAGCUAACGCAUUAAGCACUCCGCCUGGGGAGUACGGUCGCAAGACUGAAACUCAAAUGAAUUGACGGGG